rnacentral:lncRNA from 1 species
CAAAGCAAGGUUGUGAACAAUUGAAUAUGAUAUUUCAACAUAGUUGAAUUGUAUAAUUAAAUCUUAAUAUUAAAACCAACUUAAAAAAUUAAAAAUAACUUAUUUUAUUAAUUCUAUUGGGUAUUUAAAAAUUAUUUAAUAGACGGUUUUUUAUUUUUCUUAGUUUUAUUUUUUUUAAAUAUAUAUUUAAAAAUUAUAUUUUAUGCUGA